AACCUGAAUAGUGGGAGCGAUCUUUGAAAGGUGUACCACACAAUUAGUGAUUUCGUCAAACCUUCCACACCGUACUUUGAAGUUUGUAGCGGUUUACUCGAAGAAUUGGGCCUUGUAAGCUUAUGUUGUGGAGUAGCACUCUAAGAGCAUCUAUAUCCGGACUUGGCAAAUCCGAUCCCUCAAAUGCUGGCGGCAGACGCGUCCGUGGACACUGGUCGGUCAUCUCUCAAAGAAUGUAUUCUACAACCGGACAUCUUAAAUUAGAAACCUCGAAUUCAUAUUAUUACAUGCAACGUAAAUCUAAUGCAAGCAAAGCUCGUCCAGCUCCACUGUAUCCAUGUCCGGCGGGCGGUUGUGUCCCAUGUAGUGUUGGUCCUGUCGCCGACGAGGUAGACUCGUACAUGGGACACUAGCCGACUCACGAGAGUCAAGCUCUCUCCGUCUCCCAUGCCCUACUCCUCCUCGUCGGAGACCGUGACCGGACGGUGCUGGUGAACGUCAGGUCGAUGACCGAUCCUUCUUGGAAGGAGACAAGUCGAACACGACAUGGUUGCGGUGCCCGCACGCGUGCAUUAUACGGGGGGGUCGGAGAGUGUAACUCCGCCUCUCCAACGUCUAACGUCCAACAUAGAAUGUCUCCUUUGCUUGCUGUAUCGAGGAGGUGGAGACGUCAUCGAGCCAUACGUGUGCUGAACGUG
rnacentral:lncRNA from 1 species